rnacentral:ncRNA from 2 species
GCAAUAUUUGAUUAGAUAAGUCGGUGUUUUAUUAGGGAAGUUGGUGAACCUUUUGGUAACUCCAACACUGCCCCCGCAACGGUAAAUCGGUUAAGUUGUUUCACAAUGCCACUGCACAUUGACGUGUGGGAAGGCGAAGCAACCCGUUUGGAUAUUCAAAGAGAAACCUUUGAACUCAGAGUCUGAUACGUUUGAGUCACAAGUGACCUCCUGGAAUAGCUAACGUACUGAUAAGUCCGGAAACCUGCUUGGUGUGAUCUGUUUAU